ACUACCGGUACCUGCACGUGUCCAAAAAAUUCUCAAAUUAGACCUAGGGCCCCUUUUAGCCAAUAUGGGAAUUUCGGCACGGCAGCUCCGCCGUGCUCCGGCAACGGCACUGCCGCCUGCGGUGGUGAUUCGCCUCGGGUUGGCCAUUUUCGGCCGAAUUUGGCCAAACUUGCAUUGGUUCCUGUGAUAAAACAACCCUAGGGCCAUCGAUAGGCCAAAAAAUCACAAAAAACUGAGACUUACCGGCGGCGAUGCUCUCGGGUGUGGCGGUUUCUCAGGCGCGAGUCGCAGUUUGAUGUUUUGCUCCGGUCAACCUGUAGAGAAAAGGACGGUGAUCACAGUGGUGUAAAAAUUACAUCGAACGGGAAUCGGAAAGGGCCUCAUCGGAGGCAAAAAUCGAGAGAAGCCGCGGCGGCACCGCUGGACUUCGGCGGUGUUUUUCAGCCGAUUGGCUGAUGGUUUGCCUCUAAUUUGGCCGUAGGCGGAUUAAGCAUCGAAAAACAAGCUAAGGAGAGAAAAUUUACCUCGUUUGGCGGUCGGAAAACCCUCCGGUGCGGUGGCGAGUUGCGGCGGUCGGCUCCUCC
rnacentral:lncRNA from 1 species